rnacentral:lncRNA from 1 species
AAUAGGUUUUCUAAGAGAUACUUAAGAAAAUUCAACACAUUAUUCUCCCCCUUUUUCAUUAAAUUAGAGGCUCUUAAGAUCAACUAUUUGAAUUGCAAUCUGGUUCAUGAUUGAUGCAUAAGAUAUACUAACCAAAUAACAAGCCUCAAGGUGUAUCGUAAAGAUGUUCAGAUUAAAUUUCAGAUGAUACAUAUUGGAGAGUAUUAGGAUCACUUUUCAUUUAGUAUUCUUUCUCUCUCCUUUAGUUAUGGAUUUAUGCGAUUAAGUUUCAUAUGAUCUUUCCUUCUAAAAUUUUCUUUCUCCCCCUUAAUUGAUCGUUCCAUUUAAGAGUUUAGAAUUUGAAGAUAAUGUUCAAUAAAAUUGUCAAUCUCGAAAAUAUAUUUUCUAUAAGUUUCAGCAUAUUUUCAUAAGACUCAAGGUUUN